rnacentral:rRNA from 1 species
AUUGAACGCUGGCGGCAUGCCUAACACAUGCAAGUCGAACGAGUGGCGGACGGGUGAGUAAUGUCUGGGAAACUGCCUGAUGGAGGGGGAUAACUACUGGAAACGGUAGCUAAUACCGCAUACCAUCGGAUGUGCCCAGAUGGGAUGAGCUAGUAGGUGGGGUAAAGGCUAACCUAGGCGACGAUCCCUAGCGGGUCUGAGAGGAUGACCAGCCACACUGGGACUGAGUCACGGUCCAGAUUCCUACGGGAGGCAGCAGUGGGGAAUAGUGCACAAUGGGCGCAAGCCUGAUGCAGCCAUGCCGCGUGUAUGAAGAAGGCUUUCGGGUGGUAAAGUACUUUCAGCGGGGAGGCGGUACCCGCAGAAGAAGCACCGGCUAACUCCGUGCCAGCAGCCGCGGUAAUAC